GUGCACGCUUCGGUGCAUAUACACUAAAGUGGGAACGAUACAGGGAUUAGCGUGGCCCCUGCAUAAGGAUGACAUGCAAAUUCAUAAGAGUGUUCCAUAUUUCC
rfam:Tupaia chinensis contig42613, whole genome shotgun sequence.